GAUGAACGCUGGCGGCGUGCCUAAUACAUGCAAGUCGAGCGAACAGACGAGGAGCUUGCUCCUUUGACGUUUGCGGCGGACGGGUGAGUCACACGUGGAUAACCUACCUAUAAGACUGGGAUAACUUCGGGAAACCGGAGCUAAUACCGGAUAAUAUAUUGAACCGCAUGGUUCAAUAGUGAAAGACGGUUUUGCUGUCACUUAUAGCUGGAUCCGCGCCGCAUUAGCUAGUUGGUAAGGUAACGGCCUACCAAGGCGACGAUGCGUAGCCGACCUGAGAGGGUGAUCGGCCACACUGGAACUGAGACACGGUCCAGACUCCUACGGGAGGCAGCAGUAGGGAAUCUUCCGCAAUGGGCGAAAACCUGACGGAGCAACGCCGCGUGAGAGAUGAAGGUCUUCGGAUCGUAAAACUCUGUUAUUAGGGAAGAACAAAUGUGUAAGUAACUAUGCACGUAUUGACGGUACCUAAUCAGAAAGCCACGGCUAACUACGUG
rnacentral:rRNA from 1 species